GAAGAGAAUUAUCAUGCAUGGAAUGAGGCACAAAUACAAGCUCACUUGACGUUCUCGUCUGCAAUAUCAUAAAUUAUUUCCUUUCCUUGAGCCAGUAUUCAUACAAGUUUUCUAAAGGAAUUUUCACAUUUGGCAAGCAUUUUGCUCUCUUGAAGAAAACCAGAGUUUUUCCAUGAAAAAGUGCUCCAUGGGAGUUAAAUUCAAAAUAUAACUGUAGUAUGUACGGUGCCGUCAUAUUGAAUUAUUGAUUAAGUUAUUUAAUGAAGACCACUGUCGUUAUUACUUCAAUUCAGACAUAACAAAGUCUUCAGAUUGCACAUGUUGCCCUCACUUCCCAGAUAGUUUUGGCCAUGUACCUUCCUAAAGUACAGGUACCUGCUGUACAUGAACAAUCUGCCAAAAAAUGGUUUUCUAUUCUCCUGUAUAAAAUUCAGAUAUAUUAGCUUCCCUCUCUUCUGAUGGUAACCAUAUGACAUGGUGACUGGCAGUGUGAGCUAAAUCUGAAAGAAAUAGAGCACCACGUGUUGAUAUCAUAAGAACUCCCCUCCAAGUCUUAUGGAACCUAGCCAUGCUUCCUGGAAUGAAGAGCAUGGAUUUAAAUCUAUUAAACUUCCAACUCUUAGAUUCUUACUGCACAUUCUAAUUAAGCCACUUCUCAACCAUGCAUGUACAAAUCGGAGCUGGUAUUUACAGGAAGGACACUUAAACCAUGCACCCCUUGCCUUUUUUUGUACAUGUUUUUUGGUGACUUUAGAAUGAAGGGUCUUUAUGUAAAUGUACCAGAUUAGCAAUUUCCGGUGUAAAAACGCUAAAUACUCUUCUUAAUUUGAUGCACCUUCGUCCCAUAGUCACUAAAAAAAGGUACAAAAAACGUCAAAUGUUGAUGGUUCACGUGCCCUCUCUGUAAAAUGCUGACGUGUGUUACGUACUUUUUAUCUAUCCACUUUUUAUUACCCAUCCUUUUGUGACUGCUACUUUAGGGCAGCUAGUACUGUACAUGAACUGUCUUUUUUAUGGGCCAAUCUACUUAAAUAACAGAAUGAUGGUGGACAACACUUUUUGCAAUCAAAAUUCUGUGAAACAGUUCUUUGUAUUCUGCGUUCCUACUUUGUUUACAUUAUUUACUACAUAAUUAAGAAGCUGCAUGUAUACAGAGUGUCAUUUCAGUAAAUUAGCCUGUGCAGCAAUUAUGAACAGGGAAGGGAAAGGGAGGUGAAAAUGUGACAAGAAGCAGGAUUUGCAUUAUGUGGCCAAUUUCCAAGUAAUCCGAUCAUGUCAACUGUCAAUACAUUCAUCAGUCAGAAACGAGGGUGUACAUCUCUGCAUAAUAGUGUUGGCUUUACACAGAUAUAUCAUCGUUUACUGGCAAACACAAAUUAUCAUCCACCUAAGGUGUGUUUCUUCUGUAAAGUGUUAGAAGAGGGAGCAAAAUAAGUAAGAGCAUCUAGCAUCUAGCAUCUGUCCUUCUUGUGCCUCGUGUCACAUAGGGCCUUUUGCAGAAGUUCUCCAGUUUUCUUGGUCUGCUGCGAUCAUUCUCAUUUCCUCCCAUGAGCUCUACCCUGCCUCUUCCCCUUCCUUUUCUACUGUUCAUCUCAAGGUUGUCUUGGGUCUCUCGGAACUCCAUAUGUUCUUCAAUCUGAUGAAUGCACCUCUUGCUUUGGAUAGUCUGUUCGUAAGGUCUUUUAUUGCACCUCCUUCUUUACACACUUUCGCUCCCAAGUAUGCAUGUGAACUCAUCAAUGUCCUCAAUAUCCAUUUAUUUUAAAACAGUCUUGUCUUGGUUUCUUGCAUUGAUCCUCGUCAUUUUUGUCUUUUCUGUAUUGAUCUUAAGCCCCACUUGUCUGUCUUCUUCCAUCUUUGUUGUUUUAUUCUGAAUCUGCUGUUUGGUAGAGGGAAUUAGGCUAUAUCAUCUGUGAAAUCUAAGUCGUCAAGUUUGGAUAUUAACCUCCAUCUAAUGCUGUCCUUCAUGUAAUGCUGUUCUCACCAUUUCCGACCGUUAAUCGUCUGUCAACUCCUCCCCUUAUUUGAUCUAUAAUAAUCCUACCUAGUAUCUUCCCUACAACAGACAGCAAUGUUAUCCCUCUUGAGUUCUUGCAUUCCCUUAGAUUACCUUUCUUUACCAGUUUAACAAUAAGCCCAAGCCUCAGGGAUCCUUUCAUGGUUCCAUAUCUUUAUCAUCAAUUAAUGCAUUUUCUCCGCUGAAAAUUCUAAACUUGCUCUCAAUGACUCGGCUGUGAUGGAGUCAAUCCCUAGCCCUUUGCCAUUUGUAAGUCCUUUUAUUAGAGAGCAAUAUAGUAAUAUUAUUGUUGCAUAUUCUGUGGAAUUGAGUUUGUUUCUUCUGAUGGCAUGGUUUAGGUUAGACACUCUAGGUACACUGUUGAUGGUAUGUUGUUAUUCCCUUGGUUUCAGCUGUUUGCCAAGGCAGGUCUAGAUUGUAUGCAUCCAUUGGCUGUCCUUUCAUUUGAAGAGAACGCUUAUCUGAAUGCUAUAAGGCUUUAACUUAAAGAAAGAGCUCCUAUAGCAGAUUGGAUACAGUGUAUGUAACCUGGGCACAAAACAUCAUUGUUCUCUAACAUGGUUGUUGUGCUGAUAACAGGAGUCUGUGGAAGUGGAAAGACAACUGUGGCGCGAGCUUUGGCAAAGAAGUUGUCAUGCCCUUACAUGGAUGCAGACAAUUUCCAUUCACAAGGUAACAUCACAAAAAUGAAGCAAGGAACCCCACUCACUGACGAGGACAGACAACCUUGGCUCCUGGCUUUGCACAAAGUUAUUGAAAGGUAUUCAUGAAUAAUAUCUGUUAGUUAUAAUUUGUUUAAUGUACUAUGACUGAGGAAAAAUCCAGGGCAGGAAAUAAUUAUUUCAAUAUAUUGGUCAAGCACCCAGCCUGAUAACUGAAAUUACUCCAGAUUGUAGUGGUAUAUAUUGAAGUACUAUUGUCUGAGUUUAUCACAUCUGGAACAAAAUUUGAGUGUUGAAAGUCUCUGUUUGAGACUUUUUUGCUGAUGGAGUGGUAACCUUUGUCUGUUCCACAAGGACAUCACAAGAGAAUGAAUCCUUUUAAAUAUGACCAAAUUAGAGUAAUCCUAUAACUAGCAAAAUGUAACUGACAGGUGUUGAUGGACACUUACCCAGCCCAGUUAUUCUAGUAAAUGUUUCACUAAAUUUUUAAAUUUGCAUUAUAAUUAAUAAUUA
rnacentral:lncRNA from 1 species